CAAGUUCCCCUCUACUCCGCCGCUGUGCUGAAUGCUGCUCCCACCCCUGUGUGCGUGUGAUGGAUCGGGCAGAGAGAUUGACAGGCUAGCCAACAGAGCCAGCAACUGCAGGCCGACCGUCACAGUGGAUGUUAGGGCAUUUUUUCCCAAGAAAACUCCAGCAAAAGCUUCAGCUUCAACUCUUGCCUUGUAAAGAGCGCCCAACGACGUGGCCCUCAUUACGAGCUGGACGUCGCUUCGGGGACCCGCCAGGCGCCCAAGUGGACAAGUAUAGAAUUGCAAGUGAUUAAUUUGUUGAAAGCUCCCCUGGAACACGGUUUACUCGCACAAGUAUUUGUCUUCAUUUGCCAAGAUAUGUACAGUGACAUAAGAAGAUAGGGCUCAGUGAAUGGAGCCCGUGUAUUUCUCUCCAGUGGCAGUAAAGUUCAGCUUUCCUGUAUGAUAGUUGGGUUUAUUGCUAGUGCAUUGCCAGCUGUGUUCACGUGCUACUAAAAAUGGUCCAUUUAACAGCUAAAACUGUGGAACUAAUGGACAAAUAAAGAGUGAGACAAUGCUUGAAGAUACA